AUUGAACGCUGGCGGCAGGCCUAACACAUGCAAGUCGAGCGAGCGGCGGACGGGUGAGUAAUGUCUGGGAAACUGCCUGAUGGAGGGGGAUAACUACUGGAAACGGUAGCUAAUACCGCAUACCAUCAGAUGUGCCCAGAUGGGAUUAGCUAGUAGGUGGGGUAACGGGUCACCUAGGCGACGAUCCCUAGCUGGUCUGAGAGGAUGAACAGCCACACUGGAACUGAGAAACGGUCCAGACUCCUACGGGAGGCAGCGUUGGUGAAUAGUGCACAAUGGGCGCAAGCCUGAUGCAGCCAGGCCGCGUGUGUGACGAAGGCCUUCGGGUUGUAAAGCACUUUCAGCGGGGAGGCGUUACCCGCAGAAGAAGCACCGGCUAACUCCGUGCCAGCAGCCGCGGUAAUUC
rnacentral:rRNA from 1 species